UUUCUGUAGUCUAGGACUCACACAGGGUUGGUGGUAGCCUACAGCACACCACAUUUGCAAAAAAAGCAUCCUCUCCAGAAAGUUGAGGCAUUACUCCCCAGGUUCCAGAAAUUCAUAUACAGUUUUCCUCUGACAUUUCUCCUGCACUGUUGCCAGGAGGAUGAAAUUGGUCAAUUUUGUUAUCUAUCUGCAACAGGAAGAAAAGUUUUACAAUCAGGAUAUUGUUUAACAGACGGAGUGGUUUCUCUUAGACACUAAGUACUGUGUAAUUC
ensembl:snoRNA